CCGAACUGUCAACACGAGUUGUUGCUGGUCCUCAAACGGGGGCAUGUGCACGCUCUGUUUGCAUAUCCACUCACACCUGUGCACCCUCCGUAGUUCUGCAGCCUGGGGGCUCUGUCCCCCCUGCCGUGGUUCUAUGUGUUUACACACACACACUGUAAUAAAGUCUCAUGGAAUGCAUGUCGCGUUUAACGCAAUACAAUA
rnacentral:misc_RNA from 1 species